ensembl:lncRNA
UUCCUAUUGAAUUACUGAAUAUGAUGAAUAUUAUUGAAUUUACUUGAAAUAUUAAGAAAUAAAUGUCCUCAGAUCUGUAAAUGUAGUUCAUUUUUACACUUUUUCAGGUUUUCUAUCUUUGGUAUGGCCUUCCAUUAAUAAUGUUUCCUCUAGCUAAUCAAUGCUGCACCAAAAUCCAGCUCUGGACCUAUAAAAUCAAGCUUAAUGUCAGCAAAUAUAAUAAUAUUUUCUUUAUGACAUCACCCGCUCUUAAUUAUGGCAAAUUACAGCUUUUUAAAAAAAAGUUUUAAUAUAUACAGUGUGUUAAAGAACCACAGCAGAAUCUCAGCAGUGACUCACUGAAGGUGGACUAGUCUCAUCACACACUCAUCUCUCAGCAGGUAAUUUUCCUCUCUCGUCUCGUCAAGAGGAUCUACUGCGUGUCUUGAUUUCUUAUCAAUCAGAAAGUGAACCUGUGAAGGAGUGUGUGUGUGUGUGUGUGUGUGUGUGUGUGUGUGUGUGUGUGUGUGUGUGUGUGUGUGUGUGUGAAUAUUAGGAGCAUCCCUUUUUUUCUUUAAUACUAGGGUUUAUCUAUAAUCAAUCUGCUCUGAUUGCCUCAGAUGGAAAUGACAAGCUUCCAUCAGUGUUGGAGAAAAAAGGGAGGGAAAAAUCCCAUCCUCAUGCUCAUCUCUCAUCUCUCUGUUCUUUAAUUUCAUCCAGUCAUCAGUGUACAUUAAACAGGAUAAAAACGUUUUGGAGUGUGUGUGUUUCCGUUUCACAAAGCCAGACAGGAACGAGCUAGAGGAGGGGAAACGCUGACGACGCUGACUGCAGCUAUUAUUGCUGAAUAACGUUUGAAGAUUACAGAGAAGAGUUACACACUUCAAACACAGACAGUGAGUGUGUGAGCUCUUAAUAUACUCACUGGGAUGGAGCUACACACACAUGCACAUACACACACACAUACACAUACAUGCCAUUCACAUGGCAUUAUAUGGGACCAUGCAUAGCACAAGUUACUAAAUUAUCAUGAUGCUGUUCUUAAAAAAAUACAAAUUAAUAGAAUGUUAAUAUCUGCAAAAUAAUUGUCUUUAUGCCACAUUUCCAAACACAAAGGCAGACUAUUUUCUAAAUAAAAUGCAAGGCAGUCACCUACUUAAUUUUUCAUGAAUGAAGAGCAAAAAUGUUAUAACAUUUACUGCUAAAUUAUCUACAAUAAGAAUAUCCUGAAUAUCGCUAUUGUACAACCGAUUAUCAGCCCACUCCCAAUCCUGAGCCACUUCCCUUUUAGAGACAUAAAACAAAAAGUGCUGUGUCGCCUUAUAGCCACAAUUUCCGUCACUUCACUUCAACAGAAUCACACAAAGCAUUUUCAAAAAUAAUAUUAAAAAUGAUAGUUGUUAUAUUAUGAAUCAAUUGUGACGCUACAAUAGAUUUCAAUUCCUUCUAAUAAAUAAAUCUGUAGAUUUACCCAAAACAAAAAAAAACAAUGCCCCCUAUUUUCCCUAAAAAUACAAAAAUGUUAUAAUAUUCACUACUAAAUUAUCUACUAUAACAAUAUUGUGAAUAUCGGGAUAUAUUGUAUAACCUGUAAUUGGCCCAAAACCAAUCUAGUACAACUUCCUUUUUAGAUGCAUAAAUACAAAAUAAGAGCCAUGUCACAUUAUAACUACAAAAUUUCCUUCACUUCACUUCAACACUAACACACACAAAAUGUCUGUAAUUCAGUGACAGCUUUAAAGCCUUGCUAUAAUAUGUGUAGAUUUCUGUCAAAAUGUCAUUUUGUCAAAAGGGGAGAAAAGAAAGCAUAUGUGUGUAUGUUUCGGUGCAAACACAGCAGCAGGGUGUAUGUGUAUGUGUGUGUGAAACUGUAGCCAGCUAAAAUAAGGCCUUUUUUGGGGCUCAGAGAUAAGAGAUGGAAAUUGCCACUGGAGAAAAUGAGGGUUAUUCAGCACUCCGAUAAGCACCUAUUUGCUUUUGGUCAUAAUGCCUUCUCACACUUUAUAAAUCAUCAUUUAAUUACGCAGACGAGCGGCUGAUUGUCGGCCUGGCUGGCCCGCCGGCGCACAGCCACGCACAAAGAGGGAAAUUAUACGUGUCCUUGGCAUUUCAAUCAUCAUCACUAAUGCAUUAGCGUUCAAUUACAUCAGACACUUUCAGCAAGUGCAAAAAAAUCUAAAGACAAAAAAAGGGAGUGAAGAGGGAAAAGAGGAUGGGGAGAAAAAUUUACGUUGUUUAUAAUAUAACGCGUAUAUUUUUGUCCCCCUCCUCGUUUCCCUGUAUAUAACUGAGGAGCUAUAAUUUACUAAAUAAAUCAUUAUCAAAAGAUACAUGUAUUUAAAAUAUUCUCUAUUUUGAUUUUUUUAAUCAUAUAAUGAUUAUAGAAUAAUAUCAUUAUUAUAUUAUAUAGUGAUAUAAG